UCUCAGCAGUGGGACAGCCUCAGUGAGCCACUUGUAGUAGUGCGAGUAGGUUGUGAGGUCGGCCACAGUGGUUUACAUACACCAUCUCCAUUGCAGAAAGCCAGUGCCCUGACCACCUGUUGCACACACCUCACCGCCGCCCAACAUCUGCACCACUACUACUACUACUAAAUCAGAGGUAACCCGUCAACAACUACAAUACAUCAACAUGAAGACCCUAACAACAUUGAUCACCUUCUUCGUCACCUACUUCUGCCUGGUCCUCCUCUUCCAGGAAGCUGCUGCAGCACCGCGCUGUGACAGUCACGACAGUCCAGCUCCUACCAACUGCAAGUACGGCACUGUGAGGGACUGGUGCCGCAACGGAGUCUGCGCCAAGGGACCCGGAGAGAGUUGCGGAGGAUACUGGUAUGAGUACGGCAAGUGUGGCGGAGGAACCUUCUGUCUGUGUGGUACCUGCAUCGGCUGCUCCACUAUCGAUGGUACUUGCUCGCAAAGUAGUCCUGCGAUAAUCUGUUAGAGCGCCCACCCUUCCCUGGCCAACACCCCGAGGUGCCUUUUACCUACCACUUGACCCUUCACCCUUUACCACCAUCUUACUCAGGCAUAUAUUGUUGACUCCAGGUCUUCCCCACCACCUGCUGUCAUCUUCUCCUCGCUUCUAUUGACUCCAGCUCUUCCCCACCACCUGCUGUCAUCUUCUCCUGGUUCCUGUUGACUCCAGGUCUUCCCCACCUGCCUCUACCAAGUUCAGAACAAACUAGGACCAAAACGCCGAAUCUUUGCCGCCACUUUCCCCACGCUUCUAUGAGAUCCUUCAAAGCGACCGCAAGAGUUCUUACUGUAGGGGAUUUCUCCGACCACGUCGAUACAACACAUCUUUCCACCUCCAGAGGACUUUCUGGCCAUCUCCACAAGUGCCAUCUCCAUAGGACGCGUUUGGCCACGUCCAUCGUGGGCCUGUCUCCCUACGCCCACAGGACCUUUCUGGCCAGACCUAUAGGAUAUGUCUGGUCAGAUUUCGUGCUCUUUUAUAUAGGUUUUUAUAUCUGCUAAAUAUGCUAUAUCCUGUUGCAUAUAUGCGCUUGUGAUAAUUGAGUACAAAUCUUAUUAUUAGGAGGUAUUUAGCCAAGGUAUAAUAACUGCACCUCCAUCUAUAUAUACCCAGGGGACGUAACAGUUCACUUACAAUGCAAUUGUUGAUAUAAGUAAAGUAUAAUUAGUCUUAAAGCCAUAAUUAAUAGCAAAACAAUUACACUAUUGACGCAUUAAUUAACCCUUUCCCUCAUACUGUCAUCCGGUAUUUCUUCACUGUGCACUUCCAUCCACUAAUACAAGUCUCCAACAGGGUGGUGCAUCCUCAACUUGUAAACAUUUCCAUAUUUUGUGACUGGUCCUUCUGACUCAACUAUACGGCUUUGAUACCCACACUCUGUUAAGGUAAUUUAUCAACUAAUAAUAUGAACAGUUUCGAGUUAUUUAUUGUAUACAUCUGACUUAAUGACAUGUCGGAUACUACCACAUACUUAAGGCCUUCAGGUACUGUUGUGCAAUCCUCAAAAAUAAGUUUACGUUUAGUUUAUACUUUUAUUAUACAGGUUAUGAGUAAAUGUAAGUACUUUUGUUUAGUAUGGACAGCCAGGGUUAUGUUUAUUUUGGGUUAACCUUGUGUGUGUUUGGGGCCACCAGCUGCUUUUGUCAGUAUAUUCAGGUCAAGUUUCUCCUGAAGUUAAUAUACCCAGGUCAAGUUUCUCCUGAAGUUAACAUACCCAGGUCAAGUUUCUCCUGAAGUUAACAUACCCAGGUCAAGUUUCUCCUGAAGUUAACAUACCCAGGUCAAGUUUCUCCUGAAGUUAACAUACCCAGGUCAAGUUUCUCCUGAAGUUAACAUACCCAGGUCAAGUUUCUCCUGAAGUCAACAUAUCCAGGUCAAGUUUCUCCUGAAGUCAUCAACUUUCCUGAGGUCGACAUACCCGGGUCAAGUUCUCUUAAGUCAUCACCUUCCCUGAAGUCAACAUACCCAGGUCAAGUUUCCUGAAGUCAUCUUACCUGGGGUCAUCAACUCUCCUGAAGUCAUCCUACCCGGGGUUAUGAACUACCUGAGGUCAACCAUAUUUAUCUGAGGUCAUCAACUACCAGUCAUCAACCUUCUGUAUUUUAAUUGAAGAAUCAUCUACAACCACCUGUACUGGGACCACCUGUACUGGGACCACCUGUACUGGGACCACCUCUACUGGGACCACCUCUACUGGGACCACCUCUACUGGGACCACCUCUACUGGGACCACCUCUACUGGGACCACCUGUACUGGGACCACCUCUACUGGGACCACCUCUACUGGGACCACCUCUACUGGGACCACCUCUACUGGGACCACCUGUACUGGGACCACCUGUACUGGGACCACCUGUACUGGGACCACCUCUACUGGGACCACCUCUACUGGGACCACCUGUACUGGGACCACUCAGGUUAGGUUAAUCAACUGGUCACCUGGGAUCAAUCAAUCUCUACCUGGGUUUGAUAUACAGUGAAACCUCUAUUUAACGGACUAUAUUGAGAGAAAAUUCCGUUAUAAUUAGGUUUCGUUAGAUGCGAAUCCUCCAUCUAACAAACUGAAUAGAGAUGGAAAGUCUGUUAUAUCAAGGGUCCGUUAGAUGUGAAACACCCCCAUCUGGAGAUAUAAGUCCGUUAUAUGGAGGAUUCACUGAGGUUACCUGUAGUUGAUGAACCUUGAGACAACACUCACCACGUACCUGAUGCGCCGCACCUGCCUUGUCCCAAUGAUGUAAUUCAACUGGGUUUGAACACAAUAAAGGCACAUAUUCAUAACA
rnacentral:misc_RNA from 1 species